UGAGAGGCUUCCUGUCACCCUUCUCUUCUUUCAUCAAAGAGAGAAAAUAUUCCUCCCAACUCCCCCAGCUGACAGGCGCCUUCUGCUUCAUUGGCCAGAGCUGAGUCACAGGAUCCUUUCCAGCUCUUGGAAAGUGACUUUCAGCCUCUCUGAUGCGAUGGGAGAAGGAACAGAGGUCUGACAAUGACUGAGGAACCAACCUGGUGGGUUGAGCCCUGCUUUGCUUCCAAGCAGAGAGCGAAAGAGAAGUGGAUGCUUUCUAAGGCGAUGAAGCCAUCAGACAGUGGACAAGAAGUCAUGUUGCAAGGGAUUACUUCCAACAACGAGCAGCAGCAACCCACGCGUCACUGACCAAGAGCGAGCUGCACCAAGGCUGUUUACCCCAGCAAGUCAUGUCACUCAGCACAGUGGGAACUGAGUGCAUCCAGUGCCGUUGAGGACCCAGCUUGCAUUAAGCAGUCUUGCUCAUGGGACUUUUGCUGCAAUUCAAGUCAGUAUUCAAGUUUAGUUUUGCAACUCUGAGUUUAGGAGUUUAGAAGUGAAGUUUUGAGAAAAUAAGAGGCAUUUCCAGUGGCACUCCCCUUUUACAGUGCCCUCUGGAGAAUGGCUUUGAAUAGUAAGUGCUUUUGAGUUCUUCAGACUUUAACUUUUAUUUUUCUUCUGUUCUGUCUGCUCCCAGCUCACUUAACCAUAGGUAUGGUGCUAGUAUUCAUUUCCCCACUUGAAAAAACACAAGCACUCAUGUUUUCCCCUUCACUGUGAAAAAAUGAUUUUUUAUCUCCCAACUGUUUAUAAUUUUACUUCUCUCAUACUAUAAGCCCAGUAUACACCAGUCCUUUUCGAUGUACUUAACUCUCUUGGCUCCCAAAGUGACCCAGAAUGAGGUUUGUCAUCAUCUGGUUGUUUAGGAUAUGAAGGAAAUCCAGAGGUGAGGCAGAGUUCCAGAUUCUCUCAUAGUAAUACCCAGCCUUGGUCUUCACCAAAACUCUCAUUGAUAUAUCGGUGUCACUAAACCCAAUUCAUAGAGUAGGAAGGGGAGGAACACAGGGGUGAAGUCAGUUUCUUCAAGUGGCAGGGCCAGGGUUGGCACACAGGCAGCCUGAAUCCACAGUCCCUACUCUGAACCUCUGUUCUAUGGCCCCAAGUUAGGCCUAAAUAUAGAAGGAGGCUCCCAGCUUGCAGGACAACCCUUACCCAACCAGGAUACACUUCCCACCUCUGCAGCUGUACCCUCCAAGGAUCCUGGCCAGGAAGGCACCUGGGGCUCUGCUUGGGGUUUCACCCAUAUCCCUCCUGGCCAUCAGUGUGG
rnacentral:lncRNA from 13 species